rfam:Tetraodon nigroviridis, WGS project CAAE01000000 data, contig: CNS0BSYX, chromosome: undetermined
CUGCAGCUAUGGCGACAUGGUCCCCAACACCAUCGCGGGGAAGAUCUUCGGCUCCAUCUGCUCGCUCAGCGGCGUGCUGGUGAUCGCCCUGCCCGUGCCCGUCAUCGUGUCCAAC